UACGAAGGGUGCAAGCGUUACUCGGAAUUACUGGGCGUAAAGCGUGCGUAGGUGGUUUGUUAAGUCUGAUGUGAAGCCCUGGGCUCAACCUGGGAAUUGCAUUGGAUACUGGCAGGCUAGAGUGCGGUAGAGGGUAGUGGAAUUCCCGGUGUAGCAGUGAAAUGCGUAGAGAUCGGGAGGAACAUCUGUGGCGAAGGCGACUACCUGGACCAGCACUGACACUGAGGCACGAAAGCGUGGGGAGCAAACAGG
rnacentral:rRNA from 1 species